UGGGGGCGCGACACGCCCCCUCCGCGCCCCCCGCCCGCCUCAGCCCGCUGCAGCCAUGUUGAGUGUGGCGCGGCGCCAUGCUGGGUGCGGCGGCGGGGAGGCACAGAGUCAUAGCAUCACAUCCUGAGGUGUCCUGUGGGGCCAAGUGUGGAGAAGGCUCCUGGGGCCACCAUAAAAUUGAGUGGUGUGAGGGGGAAGAAAAUGCAUGAGUGUCUUCAUCAUCAGACCAGGGACUAACUUUUUUCCCUCCUGGCACUGAGAAGUGCCCCAGGGAUGCAGGGCCAGUACUGUUCCCAGGUGGUCUCAUCCCUGCCAGAGCCUCUCACUUGGACGUGGAGCUGCUGGCAAAGGGCAGGAUGACACCAGGGUGCUGCAGAGGCUGAGCCCUUUCCCUCAGCUUUCCCCGCUUCCAGCACCAGCUGCGCUCAGCCUGGUAUGGGGGAGGCUCGCCGGGCUCAUUGUCUGCAGCCAUUUGGGGAGUGCACGGAACUCCGGUUGGCUUGGAAACAAGGCUGCAGCCCGGCCCAGAGCAGAGCCAGCUGCUACCAACCCUCCACUGAUGUUCACUGUGGAUGCCAGAGGCCGGCACAGCGCCAGGAGGGCUUCAGGGCCACCUUCUCCCGCCAGUGCUCACCCUCCACUUCCUCAAGCCCCGGGGAAUCAUUUCUCCCCAGGGUGAAGUGGGGCCGUUCAGAUGUGGUGACAUUAUUCACCCGCUCUGCCUGGAUGAAGAUGAGACUCAGCGGGGCUCUAUGUGGUGUAGGCGUGACAAAUUUCAUCAGCUGUUUAGGACAAGAGUCAUCACAGAUGACUGGAUUACAGAAUCCUGCUUCCUGCUCCUGUCUUGAUACAAAUCCCUUGUGAAACAGGAAGAAAAUUAAAAGCCACAUCCCAAAGAAUGUUUAUUUCCUGCUGGAGCACAGGAAGCAUAAUGAUGGCUGCAGCAACAGGGAUUUGUGAUCAGGGUGAUGCAGGCAGGUGCUCUUGGGAGAUGAAGUGUCCAAUGUCCUGGGUAGAUGACUCUAGAAACCUCACCAGGUACCAGGCUGCAUCUUCAGACACACAAAGAGAUCCGAAUGUUUAUGUGGAUCUGUGGUCCCUGAGCUCUGCCCGGGUCAGGAGCACACAGGGACAUGCUGCCUCAUGCCACGCUACCUAGUCAAUAAAGCCAGUUCCCUAAUUA